GAUGAACGCUGGCGGCGUGCCUAAUACAUGCAAGUAGAACGCUGAAGGAGGAGCUUGCUCUUCUGGAUGAGUUGCGAACGGGUGAGUAACGCGUAGGUAACCUGCCUGGUAGCGGGGGAUAACUAUUGGAAACGAUAGCUAAUACCGCAUGACAACAGUUAUUGCAUGAUAACUGUUUAAAAGGGGCAACUGCUCCACUACCAGAUGGACCUGCGUUGUAUUAGCUAGUUGGUGAGGUAACGGCUCACCAAGGCGACGAUACAUAGCCGACCUGAGAGGGUGAUCGGCCACACUGGGACUGAGACACGGCCCAGACUUCUACGGGAGGCAGCAGUAGGGAAUCUUCGGAAAUGGACGGAAGUCUGACCGAGCAACGCCGCGUGAGUGAAGAAGGUUUUCGGAUCGUAAAGCUCGGUUGUAAGAGAAGAACGAGUGUGAGAGUGGAAAGUUCACACUGUGACGGUAUCUUACCAGAAAGGGACGGCUAAAUACGUG
rnacentral:rRNA from 1 species